GAGGGACUAAAGCUGCCACGCGAGUUUAGCCGAGGUUGGGGAGCUGAGUUUCUGUCCCGAUGAUUCAGGCUCCCUUCCGACCCCCAAUGCAGGAGCUGUAGGUCUGAACUCAAGAAGAUGGGUGGACUGAGAAAGCGAGUGGAACCCCUGCGUCCUUUCCCCAGCCGAAAGAAACAGAGACAGGGAUUCAUCCGGCUCGUUGUCUGAAGGGGCCAAGGACCUACCUGGGUGAUCCGCGCUGUGCCCUCUUAAGACUCAGGCGGACCAAAGAGAGUGCCCGAGGCCAGGAGGAAGAAGGCUUUAGCACCUCCCCUGACUUCAUCCUGGCCCUGAGCCACAGGAUCUCCAGCCCUAAUUUCUCAGCUCAGCCUCAAGCUUCCAUAGAACCCCUCCACCUCUUCCCUCGGCCUGUUCUCCAGAAUGACUGGAAUUUAAGCAGCUUGGAGUGAUAACUACAUAUGGUGAUCACAAGUUCCGAAAUGGUAAUUCUAUGUGCCUGAUUAAUAAAAUUAAAACUAUUAAUGCAGUG